CAAUGUGGGCCAGAGGCCCCACCGGGAGGGAGGUAGAAGCUUGGGAGUCUCUGCUGUCCCUGGGGCCCCUGCAGGCAGAUCUGCCCAUGCCAGCCACCCCUCCCCACACCCAGGCCCUUCCUGUAAGUCAGAGUCUGACUUUAAAGCCCAGAAGCUCAGGUCGCUGAAAGGCAGCCCUGCAGCGGUUGCCACUGAUCUUCUGUGACUGUAGAGCAGCUCUUUAAUUAACAGGAGACUCCUCCGUCAGCUCAAGGUAGAAACAAAAGCUUGGAUUUGUACAGCACUGACUCGGGCACCUCUUCCAAGUGAGAAACACCAGAAGAAGCCAGUGUGAGGAACUUCAAAAUCACUGCUCUAAAUACCGUUGAAGGUUCACGGACACCAUAACUAAGUACCACAAUCUGCGGGUGGACGUCAGAAAUCUGUGCUCUCCUGGGCUGGAGGUGUUGUCUCUGGAAUCAAAGGAUCAAGUGGAUUUUCCAGACAUGACUCCAUUUGAGUAGAUGACCACAUAACCCUAGGACAUCAUCAAAGCAGAGGACAAGUGCAUGAUUCGGCACCUUCCAGAACCAUUCAUAAACUAGGCAACAGCACUGCUGGCUCAAGACCCUGUCUCCCCGUGUGAGAAGCCCUCCCCCUCACCCCAACCCACCUGUCUCUGGGGCGCUCACAUUCUUCAUCUGCCCUGUCCUGCUCAUCACCCCUGAGCGUCUCCUCAGUCUUCCCGGAGACACGGACUCCAUCCCCAGAGGGAGCACAGGGGCUCCCGUGAGCACCCUGCUGUCUGCCCCCACAGCACUGCCUCCUAGUGUCCCCCCAGGAGACAGUCACAUGAAUGCCUCUGGUUCCCCGGCCAUCUGGCAUGCUGGGUGCUGAGCUGGGUGUGCUGCCCGCCGCCUUGGGUGGGAAUAAUCCUACUUCUUUUGAAGAGCCUCCCAUCUGGGAGGCUGUGCUCUCGAGAAGGCCUCAUGAGGGUGGGUGCAGCGGGUAAACGUGGGCUGGCAGAAAUGACCAAACUGGUGCAACGACAAAAGAGAAACAAAUGCCUCCGUGGUGUGAGUUCAGCACACUCGGACCACUUUCCAUUUUUCCUGGGUGUGAAACAGACUCAACCAUCAACAGAAGAUCCCAAAGAUAGAGCAAGAGGAGGAUCACUGGGGGAACAACCAAUUUCCAGAAAAAUAUUUCAGAUUAGGAAAAAAUUCAGGUCUUCAUAUAACCCCCAAAUGGGCUCAAUGGUACCCAGAAAUACAUUAUCCAAUGUCCCUAAAUAAUCUACAGUAUCUCCCCGGGAAACGAUGAAUAUGCAUGGUUGAUAAACACAUUGCAGUGCUGAAGGAGCCUCUCUUGUUUCUACCUGUGCUGACAAACUGCACCCCUUCCUAACACUGCCUAGGCCUGCCCCAGGAGAAAGGACACUAAACCCUCGUGGGAACACAAGGACAGGAGGUACAGGUACACACAGAGGCAAGGGGCACAGAGGCUACAGGAGAAAACACACUUCAAGUACUGGGGAACCCCCUUGAGUGAGAACUAGAUGGUAACAACCUGAGUGCAUGUUCAGUUUGGCUUGUGUAUUAUAUGUGUAUGAUUCAGAAUUCUGACAGCCGAAAGGAAUUGCAACCUGGAAUCUCUAAGGAGAGCCACAUUAUUAAGAUGGGUUUCCAUAUUUACAAAUUCUGCAUUAGUUUCAUCCUUUUUGCUUUAUGACUUUAGUAAAUCAUAAAUAAUCUUAAUUUCUUGUAUCUCUUCACUUUUAUAAAAUAGGUACUCAAAAUAUGAACUCUGAACUAUUUACA